CUGAGUCAUGGCCCUCUGGGCACACACCCUCUUGACUCCUACCCCAAUUCCAUCUGCUGUACACAUCAGGAGGAUGGUCAUUCUGAUGGACAAAUAGGACCGUUACGCUGGGCCAGGGGGCCUUGAGUCAGGAGGGCCCAGCUUCAGGGAAAUGAAACCAAAUAUGCAAGAAGUCAUGACAAUUCCACCCCGGAGGAGGAGGUGUCAAGCUACCCUUGCAAAGCCCUGAACUUGGGGUCCCUCCUUCAAAGACAAAAUGCAUACUGCCCGCUAGCUGUCCUUAUCAAAUAGGGUAGUGCUUUCCAGAUCAAAGACAGUAGCACUCUGGCUAUAAUUAUUGAUGGUUUUGGUAGAGAGACAUGAAAAGUGAGUGGGCAAGAACAUAUUCUGAAUCCGGCAAGCUUCCCCAAAUUGCUGCCCUGAGAAGCUUCUUUGGAGGGGGAUCCAGGGCAGACAUCAGUUUCAGCCACUGUGAUGAUAAGAGAACUAAGGAGCUCAGUGAUCCAAAAGUGGUUACAAGUAAAAUAGAAGCUUAAUCUGGACUUGGAGAAAUCUGUGGAAAACCAGCCAUUUAAGUGGGAUUUCUGCAUCGAAUAAAAGAGGACUGAAAGCUGAAGCAGACCAAGGAAAGAAUAACAACUCUGUGUGCAUAGCUGGGUGGAAAUGGGUGAGUCUUUCUUAGAUCUGACCUCUUUUUGCUCCUGACAAGCAGCAGAGGACACGACAGAGGGCCUAAGGGGUCUUUACCCAGCAAGCUGGGAUGGCUGAUGGUAUGGAAACAAGUCUGCUCCGCAUCAGAACUGACUGCAGUGCUGGAAACAGCUUCUGCUUGGGGCUUGCUCCCUCCAGAUUAGGGGCUUGAAUGUGCUCGUGACAUGUGGAAGCCUCCUGUGUCUUCCUGCAUCUGAGGAAUGGCCAGGCAGAGAGAAGUGAGGAUCCUGGGCGAGCCCCUGCGUCCAGCUGCAUGUGUUCCUUUGGGGAGGGCGAGUCUGCUCGGCCUCCUCUCUCCUUGGUCUGCAGAAACAGCUGAGGGUACGGAGGCCGCUCUUCUCUUGAAGUCUUGGUUAUGUGAUGGUAUACCUACAAUCACACAGCUCCAAACGGUGGUGUUCCUUUUUAAAAAGGAAAAGGUCUGGGGAGCUCCCAGAUGCUUUUAAAUGAUCCCAUAGCCGAGCGGGUCGGUAUUAUCUGCGAUGAUUUAGAGCAUCUCAUGUUAUUUUACAACUCAGUUCAAAGCACGUGGGUCAGGUUGCUGGGUUAAAAGCGACAGGUCUGAGGCCAUUACUCCCUGUGAUGCCUGGGUCUACCCCUACAGCUAGGUACACUUGACCCUGUAAGAACAGACUGCAGCAUGUAGAUUUUAGAAGUUCUUUAAACCACAAAGAAGAAACCUAAGACCUGGCACAGGAACUUCAUUCUCCUACAGAAGCCUUAGAGACUCUGUUACUGCAGUUCUUAUUAAAGCCUCUUCACUUGA